GACGAACGCUGGCGGCGUGCUUAACACAUGCAAGUCGAACGGAAAGGCCCCUUUGGGGGUACUCGAGUGGCGAACGGGUGAGUAACACGUGAGUAACCUGCCCUUGACUUCGGGAUAACUUCAGGAAACUGGGGCUAAUACCGGCUAGGAAUCCUUGCUGCAUGGUGGGGGUUGGAAAGCUUCGGCGGUUUUGGAUGGACUCGCGGCUUAUCAGCUUGUUGGUGGGGGAGUGGCUUACCAAGGCUUUGACGGGUAGCCGGCCUGAGAGGGCGACCGGCCACAUUGGGACUGAGAUACGGCCCAGACUCCUACGGGAGGCAGCAGUGGGGAAUAUUGCACAAUGGGCGGAAGCCUGAUGCAGCAACGCCGCGUGCGGGAUGACGGCCUUCGGGUUGUAAACCGCUUUCAGCAGGGGCGAAGCUUGUGGUGACGGUACCUGCAGAAGAAGCACCGGCUAACUACGUG
rnacentral:rRNA from 1 species